AUUGAACGCUGGCGGCAUGCCUUACACAUGCAAGUCGAACGGCAGCACGGGAGCAAUCCUGGUGGCGAGUGGCGAACGGGUGAGUAAUAUAUCGGAACGUGCCCAGUCGUGGGGGAUAACGCAGCGAAAGCUGUGCUAAUACCGCAUACGAUCUAUGGAUGAAAGCGGGGGAUCGCAAGACCUCGCGCGAUUGGAGCGGCCGAGAUCAGAUUAGGUAGUUGGUGGGGUAAAGGGGCACCAAGCCGACGAUCUGUAGCUGGUCUGAGAGGACGACCCGCCACACUGGAACUGGGACACGGUCCAGACUCCUACGGGAGGCGACAGUGGGGAAUUUUGGACAAUGGGCGCAAGCCUGGUCCAGCAAUGCCGCGUGCAGGAUGAAGGCCUUCGGGGUGUAAACUGCUUUUGUACGGAACGAAAAGUCUCUGGUUAAUACCUGGGGCACAUGACGGUACCGUAAGAAUAAGCACCGGCUAACUACGUGCCAGCCGCCGCGGUAAAAC
rnacentral:rRNA from 1 species